UAGAGUUUGAUCCUGGCUCAGGAUGAACGCUAGCGGCGGGCUUAAUACAUGCAAGUCGAGGGGCAGCAUGGGUCUUCGGACCUGAUGGCGACCGACGGACGGGUGCGUAACGCGUAUGCAACUUGCCAACAACAGGGAGAUAGCCCGGAGAAAUUCGGAUUAAUAUUCCAUAAUGCAGGGGUACCGCCUGGUACUAUUUGCUAAAGAUUUAUCGGUUGUUGAUAGGCAUGCGUCUGAUUAGUUAGUUGGUGAGGUAAAGGCUCACCAAGACGAUGAUCAGUAGGGGUUCUGAGAGGAUGAUCCCCCACACUGGAACUGAGACACGGUCCAGACUCCUACGGGAGGCAGCAGUAAGGAAUCUUGGUCAAUGGGUGCGAGCCUGAACCAGCCACGCCGCGUGUUAGAAGAAGGCCCUCAGGGUUGUAAAUAACUUUUAUACGGGAAGAAUGGCUCUCAUGCGUGAGAGAGGAGACGGUACCGUACGAAUAAGGACCGGCUAACUACGUGCCAGCAGCCGCGGUAAUACGUAGGGUCCAAGCGUUAUCCGGAAUCACUGGGUUUAAAGGGUGCGUCGGCGGCUUAGUAAGUUUGGGGUGAAAUUCUGUCGCUUAACGAUAGAACGGCCUCGGAUACUGCUAAGCUAGAGUAUAGCAGAGGAAAGCAGAAUUCGUGGUGUAGCGGUGAAAUGCAUAGAUACCACGAGGAAUACCGAUAGCGAAGGCCGCUUUCUGGGCUAUUACUGACGCUUAGGCACGAAAGCGUGGGGAGCGAACAGGAUUAGAUACCCUGGUAGUCCACGCUGUAAACGAUGGAUAUUCGGUGUCGGCACAAUUGGGUGCCUGCGCCUGAGCGAAGCGUAAAUAUCCACCUGGGGAGUACGUCGGCACGAUGAACUCAAGGAUUGACGGGGUCCGCACAGCGGUGGAGUAUGUGGUUUAUUCGAUGAUACG
rnacentral:rRNA from 1 species